rnacentral:rRNA from 1 species
CGCUGGCGGCGUGCUUAACACAUGCAAGUCGAACGGUCGCAAGACAGUGGCGCACGGGUGAGGAACACGUAGCUUAUCUGCCCCGAAGUGUGGGAUAACGCCCCGAAAGGGGUGCUAAUACCGCAUAAGCUCCCGAUCUACAGAGGGUUGGGAGAAAAGGCGCAAGUCGCUUUGGGAGGAGGCUGCGGCCCAUCAGGUAGUUGGUGCGGUAACGGCGCACCAAGCCAACGACGGGUAGGGGACCUGAGAGGGUGACCCCCCACACUGGGACUGAGACACGGCCCAGACUCCUACGGGAGGCAGCAGUGAGGAAUAUUGCCCAAUGGGCGCAAGCCUGAGGCAGCGACGCCGCGUGGGUGAAGAAGGCCUUCGGGUCGUAAAGCCCUUUUCUGCGUGACGAGACAAAGGACGGUAGCGCAGGAAAAAGUCUCGGCUAACUACGUGCCAGCAGCCGCGGUAAAACGUAGGAGGCAAGCGUUAUCCGGAGUUACUGGGCGUAAAGAGUGCGUAGGCGGAUCUGUAAGUGGGUGGUGAAAGCGCCCGGCUAAACCGGGCGAGGUCCAUUCAGACUGCAGGUCUAGAGGCGGAUAGAGGGGUGCGGAAUUCCGGGUGUAGCGGUGAAAUGUGUAGAGAUCCGGAGGAACACCAGUGGUGCAAACGGCGCCCUGGGUCCGAACUGACGCUGAAGCACGAAAGCGUGGGGAGCGAACGGGAUUAGAGACCCCGGUAGUCCACGCCGUAAACGAUGUCAACUAGGUGUCCACUUGGCUACGGUCAAGGGGGUGCCGACGCUAACGCAAUAAGUUGACCGCCUGGGGAGUACGGUCGCAAGGCUAAAACUCAAAGGAAUUGGACGGGGGCCCGCACAAGCAGCGGAGCGUGUGGUUUAAUUCGAGGCUACACGAAGAACCUUACCUGGGUUUGACAUAACGGUGGUAGGGAACCGAAAGGGGACCGACCUUCGGGAGCCGUUACAGGUGCUGCAUGNCUGUCGUCAGCUCGUGUCGUGAGAUGUUCGGUUAAGUCCGAAAACGAGCGCAACCCUCGGGUCUAGUUACACGUGUCUAGACCGACUGGCCGUGAG